rnacentral:lncRNA from 1 species
AUUUUAUAAUUCUAAAUUCAUAUAUUUAUAGUAGAUAAUAUAUAAUAUGUAUAUUUUGCAUUUUUGUUAGCAUCUUGUGAAUAAUUACUCCAAUAUUCAGAGAAAGAUUUGAGGAUAAUAAACUAAAUGUAACCUUUUAAAUGAAUCCUAAACAUUUGGCAACCUAGUUCUCAUUGAUAUAAUUAAAUAUUUUAAUCCAAUCCAAAAGUUGUAGAAUUCAAACAGAGUACAUGGAUCUUAAAAGUAAUAAAUAGUUAAGAAAUUCAUGAGGAAUCAUCUUUCAUAAAAAUGUAUUGGUAUUUCUUAAUUAUUUGAAGUUAACAUCUUUUGUUGCUUUUUUUUUUUUUAAACUUUUAUUUAAUGCAUAUAAAUUUCCAAAGUACGACUCAUGGGUUACAAUGGCUUCCCCCCAAUACCGUCCCUCCCACCCACAACCCUCCCCUUUCCCACUCCCUCUCCCCUUUUUAAUCAGUAACUGUGGUGGAACAGAUGUUUUGCCUAGCAGUUCAAACAGUGAGUAAGGGAACAGUGUCCCAUACCACAGUGCCUGGAUUCUUCAUCUGCUUCCAUCUCUUGACUCCAGAUUUCGGAUUUACUGCAGGCCCUGGGAAGAAGAUACGAUGGCUUAAAUCAUCACCUUCAUCUCCCAGCAUUUCCCUUUUGAUGACCAAAAUGGAAUUUAUAUAUGAUGAAAACACCAUUUACACCUAUACCUUCUGUAUUUUUACAUCACUUAAGUGUUUGAUAUGAUAUCCUUUUUCUUUUGAAAUAAAUCUCUGUCCACACAAUAAAACA